rnacentral:rRNA from 1 species
AUGGGGAUGCUCAACCGGCUCCUGCCCGCGCGGAAGGAUCGCCGCCGCCGGAAAAUCCGACCCCGUCGUAUGUCGAUUGCUUCUCUGUCUGGCAAAAAGCGCUCGAUCUGUCAUCCCCAAUGUGGCAAAACAACGCGAUGUCCAGUGCCGGACCUUCCACAGGGCAUCUGGGAUGAUAUAUUGGCACUGCUGCCACUGCAAGACGCUGCCAGAGCUGGCUGUGUGUCUCACACAUUACUAAGCUCCUUGAGAUGCCGUCCCGACCUCACCUUCAGCAAUGAAACACUGGGCCUGGAUGGAAAUGUGUAUGGAAGCAAUAAACUUGCAAGGAUUUUGCUCAAGAGAGUUGACCGCAUCAUGAAAAAACACCCAGGCAUUGGAGUGAAGAAAUUUGAACUUCACUAUGGUGGUUCUUCCCUCAAAUCUAGUUAUCUCGACAUGUGGCUUCAAACUGCAGUUACUCCAGGGAUCGAAGAAGUCAUACUUUUGGUGCCGGAACAACCCAACGAAACGACUUCAGUACGCCCAUCUUACAUGGCAAAUUCCGCUGCCUCAAGAACUUAG